GACGAACGCUUUUGGCGUGCUUAACACAUGCAAGUCGAACGGAAAGGCCCUGCUUUUGUGGGGUGCUCGAGUGGCGAACGGGUGGGUAACACGUGAGUAACCUGCCCUUGACUUUGGGAUAACUUCAGGAAACUGGGGCUAAUACCGGAUAGGAGCUCCUGCUGCAUGGUGGGGGUUGGAAAGUUUCGGCGGUUGGGGAUGGACUCGCGGCUUAUCAGCUUGUUGGUGGGGUAGUGGCUUACCAAGGCUUUGACGGGUAGCCGGCCUGAGAGGGUGACCGGCCACAUUGGGACUGAGAUACGGCCCAGACCCCUACGGGAGGCAGCAGUGGGGAAUAUUGCACAAUGGGCGGAAGCCUGAUGCAGCAACGCCGCGUGCGGGAUGACGGCCUUCGGGUUGUAAACCGCUUUCGCCUGUGACGAAGCGUGAGUGACGGUAAUGGGUAAAGAAGCACCGGCUAACUACGUGCCAGCAGCCGCGGUGAUACGUAGGGUGCGAGCGUUGUCCGGAUUUAUUGGGCGUAAAGGGCUCGUAGGUGGUUGAUCGCGUCGGAAGUGUAAUCUUGGGGCUUAACCCUGAGCGUGCUUUCGAUACGGGUUGACUUGAGGAAGGUAGGGGAGAAUGGAAUUCCUGGUGGAGCGGUGGAAUGCGCGGAUAUCAGGAGGAACACCAGUGGCGAAGGCGGUUCUCUGGGCCUUUCCUGACGCUGAGGAGCGAAAGCGUGGGGAGCGAACAGGCUUAGAUACCCUGGUAGUCCACGCUGUAAACGGUGGGUACUAGGUGUGGGGUCCAUUCCACGGGUUCCGUGCCGUAGCUAACGCUUUAAGUACCCCGCCUGGGGAGUACGGCCGCAAGGCUAAAACUCAAAGGAAUUGACGGGGCCCCGCACAAGCGGCGGAGCAUGCGGAUUAAUUCGAUGCAACGCGUAGAACCUUACCUGGGUUUGACAUGGAUCGGGAGCGCUCAGAGAUGGGUGUGCCUCUUUUGGGGUCGGUUCACAGGUGGUGCAUGGCUGUCGUCAGCUCGUGUCGUGAGAUGUUGGGUUAAGUCCCGCAACGAGCGCAACCCUUGUUCACUGUUGCCAGCACGUUAUGGUGGGGACUCAGUGGAGACCGCCGGGGUCAACUCGGAGGAAGGUGGGGAUGACGUCAAGUCAUCAUGCCCCUUAUGUCCAGGGCUUCACGCAUGCUACAAUGGCUGGUACAGAGAGUGGCGAGCCUGUGAGGGUGAGCGAAUCUCGGAAAGCCGGUCUCAGUUCGGAUUGGGGUCUGCAACUCGACCUCAUGAAGUCGGAGUCGCUAGUAAUCGCAGAUCAGCAACGCUGCGGUGAAUACGUUCCCGGG
rnacentral:rRNA from 1 species